CCCGCCGGCGACCGGCGCACGGGUGAGUAACACGUAUGAAACCUGCCCGUAGCAGGGGGAUAAGCGGAAGAAAUUCCGUCUAAUACCGCGUAACAACCCAUGGAGGCAUCUCUGUGGGUUUAAAGGAAGCGAUUCCGGCUACGGAUGGUCAUGCGUCGCAUUAGCUUGUUGGCGGGGUAACGGCCCACCAAGGCGACGAUGCGUAGGGGUUCUGAGAGGAAGGUCCCCCACACCGGUACUGAGACACGGACCAGACUCCUACGGAAGGCAGCAG
rnacentral:rRNA from 1 species